CUUCCCUCAGCACCGCAGGUUCGAAUCCCGCGUUCCCCGACUGUGCCUCGCUGAGCUUGGAUGACAAGCCUGGCAUGGUCAGCAGGCAGUGACUGCUCUGGGAGUCCUGGCAAGUAAGAAGUACAAGAGAAAAAGCCUUUUCCUGCUGCAGGUAGCUGCUCUUAGCUCCCGGAAUACAGAAUAACUGUGGAUGGAAGAAGAGUUUGUGGCAGCACAGGAAUAAGUGAAGUCAAGGUCAAAGUUGGCAGCUGAUAGAAGCAGAUGUUCGAGCAAGAAAUGGAUGAGACCAGCAACCAAAUGUAUUUCCUCUUCAUUGUCUGUUUUCAGGCUUGCAUGAGUUUGUGAUUAGGUGACACAAAGCUAGUGCAUAGGAAGCUGUACAGAUCCCCA